UACGUAGGUGGCGAGCGUUGUCCGGAUUUAUUGGGCGUAAAGAGCUCGUAGGCGGUUUGUUGCGUCGGCUGUGAAAUCCCGAGGCUCAACCUCGGGUCUGCAGUCGAUACGAGCAAACUAGAGUGUUGCAGGGGAGACUGGAAUUCCUGGUGUAGCGGUGAAAUGCGCAGAUAUCAGGAGGAACACCGGUGGCGAAGGCGGGUCUCUGGGCAACAACUGACGCUGAGGAGCGAAAGCGUGGGGAGCGAACAGG
rnacentral:rRNA from 1 species